rnacentral:rRNA from 1 species
CACGCCGUAAACGUUGGGCACUAGGUGUGGGUUUCAACCAACGAAAUCCGCGCCGUCGCUAACGCAUUAAGUGCCCCGCCUGGGGAGUACGGCCGCAAGGUUAAAACUCAAAGGAAUUGA